rnacentral:rRNA from 1 species
GAGCACGUAGGUGGGUUUGUAAGUCAGACGUGAAAGCCCUCUGUUCAACGGAAGAAUUGCAUCUGAAACUACAAACCUUGAGUGUAGGAGGGGAGAAUGGAACUUCUGGUGGAGCGGUGAAAUGCGUAGAUAUCAGAAGGAACGCCGGCGGCGAAAGCGAUUCUCUGGCCUAUUACUGACACUCAGUGUGCGAAAGCUAGGGGAGCAAACGGGAUUAGAUACCCCGGUAGUCCUAGCCGUAAACGAUGGGCACUAAGUAGAGGG